GACGAACGCUGGCGGCGUGCUUAACACAUGCAAGUCGAGCGGUAAGGCCCUUUCGGGGGUACACGAGUGGCGUCCGGGUGAGUAACACGUAGGUAAUCUACCUUCGGGUGGGGAAGUAACUCGCCGAAAGGCGAGCUAAUACCGCAUAAUGCAGCGGCACCUAAUGGUGAUUAGUUGUUAAAGCGGGGGAGUCGUAAGACCUCGCGCCUGAAGAGGAGCCUGCGGCAGAUUAGCUAGUUGGUGAGGUAAUGGCUCACCAAGGCUUCGAUCUGUAGCUGGUCUGAGAGGACGGCCAGCCACACUGGCACUGACACACGGGCCAGACUCCUACGGGAGGCAGCAGUGGGGAAUUUUGGGCAAUGGGGCGCAAGCCUGACCCAGCAACGCCGCGUGAGGGAGGAAAUCCUUCGGGAUGUAAACCCUCACAAGCAAGGGAAGAGAGCUCCGGACCGAAUAAGUUCGGAGUCCGACGGUACCUUGCGUAAGCCACGGCUAACUACGUGCCAGCCGCCGCA
rnacentral:rRNA from 1 species